GUCCCAAACUAGAAAACAGGGAGAAACAAGCUACAAAAUUCCCAAAGGAGGCCUCUUCAGCCUUGUCAUUUGCCCUCACUAUUUGUUUGAAAUAAUUGAGUUCUUUGGAUUUGCUUUCAUCUCUCAGGAACUCUAUCCUUUGUGCUUCAGUAUUGGCACCAGUAUUUAUUUGGCUGGGAGGAGCUAUGCCACUAGGAAAUGGUACAUCUCCAAAUUUGAGAACUUCCCCAACCAUGUCAAAGCCCUGCUCCCUUUUGUCUUUUAGACCUUUUUUUUUUGGGUCCUUUCAUAAAGUUGCUUUUGUUAUAAUUUACCCAAUUAAGUUAGGCCCAUUCUAGUGUUUUAGGCCUUCCUUAGCUUCGCU
rnacentral:misc_RNA from 1 species